rfam:Rattus norvegicus chromosome 10, whole genome shotgun sequence.
GGGGAUUUAGCUCAGCGGUAGAGCACUUGCCUAGCAAGCACAAGGCCCUGGGUUCGGUCCCCAGCUCCA